AUCAUGGCUCAGGACGAACGCUGACGGUGUGCUUUAGACAUGCAAGUCGAACGAGAAAGCCCUUCGGGGUGAGUAAAGUGGCGAACGGGUGAGUAACACGUGGGCAACCUGCCCCUCGCAGGGGGACAACCGGAGGAAACUCCGGCUAAUACCCCGUACGUUCUCAGGGUCGCAUGGCCCUGGGAGGAAAGGUAGCUUCGGCCAUCCGGCGAGGGAUGGGCCCGCGGUGCAUUAGCUAGUUGGUGGGGUAACGGCUCACCAAGGCAACGAUGCAUAGCUGGUCUGAGAGGAUGAUCAGCCACACUGGGACUGAGACACGGCCCAGACUCCUACGGGAGGCAGCAGCCAGGAAUCUUGGGCAAUGGGCGAAAGCCUGACCCAGCAACACCGUGUGGGCGAUGAAGGCCUUCGGGUCGUAAAGCCCUGUUGAUAGGGACGAAGGGCGAAGGGUUAAUAGCCCCUAGCCUGACGGUACCUUUCGAGGAAGCCCCGGCUAACUACGUGCCAGCAGCCGCGGUAAUACGU
rnacentral:rRNA from 1 species